rnacentral:lncRNA from 1 species
CCCAGCUCUUGGAAAGCAGAGGCAGGAGAAUCUCUGAGAUGGAAGCCAAUGUGUUCCACAGAGAGUUACAGGCUAGCCAGAGCUACACAGUGAGUGCCUGUCAGUAAAUAAAUAAAUAAAUCAACAAGGAAGACGGGAACAGGACAGUCUGCACAUGGGACAGCACUCCUGUUCUUAACCCCAGCUCAGGAGGCGUUGAGGCCAGCCUGGGCUACAUAGCAAGAUGCAAGAUGCAAGAUGCAAGAUGCUGACUUAGGAAGAAAAAGUUAACAGUGCAUGGGGAACACAAGGGCAACACACACACACAUCACACACAUAUUACAGACAUAGACACACACACAUCACACACACACACACCACAUCAUACACAUAUUCAGACAUAGACACACACACAUCACACAUCUCACACACACCACAUCACACACAUAUUACAGACAUAGACACACACACAUCACACACACACAUGCACACACAUCACACACAUAUUACAGACAUAGACACACACACAUCACACAUCUCACACACAAACACACACACCACAUCAUACACAUAUUCAGACAUAGACAUACAUACAUCACACACAUACACACCACAUCACACAUACACCACAUACACACCACAUACAGACAUAGACACACACACUCAUAUGCACACCACAUACACUCACUCACUCACUCAUACACAACAUAUACACACUAUACAUACCCACAUUCAUACACUCUCACUCACACACUCACACAUAGACAACACGUACACAUACUAUACGUACACACACAUACACACACCACACACAUCACAUACACAAUACACACACACCACACAUACAACACAUAACACACACACACACACACACACAGCAAGAAAACCUAGAUCCUAAUUUGAUCAAUUGAAUCAGAAUUUCUUUGGAGGAGGAGAUUUGGAACCAUUAUUUGUAGCAAAAUACUGAGUAUUUAGGCUUGGAGAGAUGGAGAGAAAAUAUAAAGGAAAUAGAAAGGGGCAGGGAGAUGGCUCAGAAUUCUAAGAGCAAUUCCUGUUUUUCUAGAGGACCCAACUUCAGUUCACAGCACCCACGUUAAGCGGCCCCAGGGGAUCUU